rnacentral:rRNA from 1 species
GACGAACGCUGGCGGCGUGCUUAACACAUGCAAGUCGAACGGAAAGGCCCCUUUGGGGGUACUCGAGUGGCGAACGGGUGAGUAACACGUUAGUAACCUGCCCUUGACUUCGGGAUAACUUCAGGAAACUGGGGCUAAUACCGGAUAGGAAUCCUUGCUGCAUGGUGGGGGUUGGAAAGCUUCGGCGGUUUUGGAUGGACUCGCGGCUUAUCAGCUUGUUGGUGGGGUAGUGGCUUACCAAGGCUUUGACGGGUAGCCGGCCUGAGAGGGCGACCGGCCACAUUGGGACUGAGAUACGGCCCAGACGCCGACGGGAGGCAGCAGUGGGGAAUAUUGCACAAUGGGCGGAAGCCUGAUGCAGCAACGCCGCGUGCGGGAUGACGGCCUUCGGGUUGUAAACCGCUUUCAGCAGGGGCGAAGCUUGUGGUGACGGUACCUGCAGAAGAAGCACCGGCUAACUACGUG